GGUGAACGCUGGCGGCGUGCUUAAGACAUGCAAGUCGAACGGCAGUCUUCGGACUGUAGUGGCGCACGGGUGAGUAACGCGUAACUGACAUACCCCAAAGUCGCGGAUAACGAUUCGAAAGAAUCGCUAAUACAUGAUGUGCUGUCAGAUUGUGUUCUGCCAGUAAAGAUUGAUUGCUUUGGGAUGGGGUUGCGUUCCAUCAGCUAGUUGGUGGGGUAAAGGCCCACCAAGGCGACGACGGAUAGCCGGCCUGAGAGGGUGGCCGGCCACAGGGGCACUGAGACACGGGUCCCACUCCUACGGGAGGCAGCAGUUAGGAAUCUUCCACAAUGGGCGAAAGCCUGAUGGAGCGACGCCGCGUGAGGGAUGAAGGUCUUCGGAUCGUAAACCUCUGAAUCAGGGACGAAAGACACUUCGGUGGGAUGACGGUACCUGAGUAAUAGCACCGGCUAACUCCGUGCCAGCAGCCGCGGUAACAC
rnacentral:rRNA from 1 species